rnacentral:rRNA from 1 species
ACGUUAGCGACAGAAGAAGCACCGGCUAACUCCGUGCCAGCAGCCGCGGUAAUACGGAGGGUGCGAGCGUUAAUCGGAAUUACUGGGCGUAAAGCGCAUGCAGGUGGUUUGUUAAGUCAGAUGUGAAAGCCCGGGGCUCAACCUCGGAAUAGCAUUUGAAACUGGCAGACUAGAGUACUGUAGAGGGGGGUAGAAUUUCAGGUGUAGCGGUGAAAUGCGUAGAGAUCUGAAGGAAUACCGGUGGCGAAGGCGGCCCCCUGGACAGAUACUGACACUCAGAUGCGAAAGCGUGGGGAGCAAACAGGAUUAGAUACCCUGGUAGUCCACGCCGUAAACGAUGUCUACUUGGAGGUUGUGGCCUUGAGCCGUGGCUUUCGGAGCUAACGCGUUAAGUAGACCGCCUGGGGAGUACGGUCGCAAGAUUAAAACUCAAAUGAAUUGACGGGGGCCCGCACAAGCGGUGGAGCAUGUGGUUUAAUUCGAUGCAACGCGAAGAACCUUACCUACUCUUGACAUCCAGAGAACUUUCCAGAGAUGGAUUGGUGCCUUCGGGAACUCUGAGACAGGUGCUGCAUGGCUGUCGUCAGCUCGUGUUGUGAAAUGUUGGGUUAAGUCCCGCAACGAGCGCAACCCUUAUCCUUGUUUGCCAGCGAGUAAUGUCGGGAACUCCAGGGAGACUGCCGGUGAUAAACCGGAGGAAGGUGGGGACGACGUCAAGUCAUCAUGGCCCUUACGAGUAGGGCUACACACGUGCUACAAUGGCGCAUACAGAGGGCGGCCAACUUGCGAAAGUGAGCGAAUCCCAAAAAGUGCGUCGUAGUCCGGAUUGGAGUCUGCAACUCGACUCCAUGAAGUCGGAAUCGCUAGUAAUCGUGGAUCAGAAUGCCACGGUGAAUACGUUCCCGGGCCUUGUACACACCGCCCGUCACACCAUGGGAGUGGGCUGCAAAAGAAGUAGGU